rnacentral:rRNA from 1 species
GUGUAUUAGAUACCCUAGUAGUCCUAGCUGUAAACGGUGCACGUUUGCUGUAAAAGGAAUCGACCCCUUUUGUGGCGUAGCCAACGCGUUAAACGUGCCGCCUGGGAAGUACGGUCGCAAGAUUAAAACUCAAAGAAAUUGACGGGGGCCUGCACAAGCGGUGGAGUAUGUGGCUCAAUUCGAUGCAACGCGAAGAACCUUACCUGGCCUUGACAUGUACGUAGUAGAAGGGUGAAAGCCUGACGAGGUAGCAAUACCAGCGUACACAGGUGCUGCACGGUUGUCGUCAGCU